AACGAACGCUGGCGGCAUGCCUAACACAUGCAAGUCGAACGAGACCUUCGGGUCUAGUGGCGCACGGGUGCGUAACGCGUGGGAACCUGCCCUUAGGUUCGGAAUAACUCCCCGAAAGGGGUGCUAAUACCGGAUCAUGUCUUCGGACCAAAGAUUUAUCGCCUUUGGAUGGGCCCGCGUUGGAUUAGCUAGUUGGUAGGGUAAAAGCCUACCAAGGCGACGAUCCAUAGAUGGUCUGAGAGGAUGAUCAGCCACACUGGGACUGAGACACGGCCCAGACUCCUACGGGAGGCAGCAGUGGGGAAUAUUGGACAAUGGGCGAAAGCCUGAUCCAGCAAGGCCGCGUGAGUGAUGAAGGCCUUAGGGUUGUAAAGCUCUUUUACCCGGGAUGAUAAUGACAGUACCGGGAGAAUAAGCUCCGGCUAACUCCGUG
rnacentral:rRNA from 1 species